rnacentral:rRNA from 1 species
GACGAACGCUGGCGGCGUGCUUAACACAUGCAAGUCGAACGGAAAGGCCCUGCUUGCAGGGUACUCGAGUGGCGAACGGGUGAGUAACACGUGGGUGAUCUGCCCUGCACUUCAGGAUAAGCCUGGGAAACUGGGUCUAAUACCGGAUAGGAGCCAUUUUUAGUGUGAUGGUUGGAAAGUUUUUUCGGUGUAGGAUGAGCUCGCGGCCUAUCAGCUUGUUGGUGGGGUAAUGGCCUACCAAGGCGGCGACGGGUAGCCGGCCUGAGAGGGUGGACGGCCACAUUGGGACUGAGAUACGGCCCAGACUCCUACGGGAGGCAGCAGUGGGGAAUAUUGCACAAUGGGCGCAAGCCUGAUGCAGCGACGCCGCGUGGGGGAUGACGGCCUUCGGGUUGUAAACUCCUUUCGCCAGGGACGAAGCUUUUUGUGACGGUACCUAGAUAAGAAGCACCGGCUAACUACGUG